rnacentral:rRNA from 1 species
AGCCAUCUUUUAAAGAAAGCGUAAUAGCUCACUGGUCAAGCGGGCCUGCGCGGAAAAUGUAACGGGGCUCAAGCCGGGCACCGAAGCUUUGGAUGCACAGUUUCUCCGGAGACUGUGCGUGGUAGAGGAGUAUUCCUGAACCCUGCGAAGGUAGACCGAAAGGACUGCUGGAGGGCCAGGAAGAGCUUAUGCUGCAAUGAGUAGCGACAAACCGGGUGGAAAUCCCGGUCGCCGUAAGUCCAAGGUUUCCCGGGCCAGGUCAAUCCUCCCGGGGUCAGUCGGACCCUAAGCCGAGGCCGAUAGGCGUAGGCGAUGGCAAGCAGGUUAAUAUUCCUGCACCUGCCAGUAUGCGUUGAAGUCAGCGGGGACGGAGAAGGAUAGCCCAGCCACCUGAUGGAUGGUGGUUCAAGCCUGUAGGGAGGUGCCGUUGGAUAAAAACGCGGUGCCAAUUCCGAGAGGUGAUGUCGUGGAAAGACUUCGGUCAAUCCUCAAGUGGGUGAGUCCAUGCUUCCAAGAAAAGCCGCGGAUGGAGCAUAUUGACAGUCCGUACCGGAAACCGACACAGGUGGACGGGUCGAAUAGACCAAGGCGCUUGAGAGAACCAUAGGUGAAGGAACUCUGCAAAUUACCACCGUAACUUCGGGAGAAGGUGGGCUUUUUGGUGUGAAGGACUUGCUCCGUAAGCACCGAAGAGCCGCAGAGAAAUGGCGGUAGCGACUGUUUACCAAAAACUUAGCACUCUGCGAACUCGUAAGAGGAAGUAUAGGGUGUGAUGCCUGCCCGGUGCCGGAAGGUUAAGGGGAUGUGUCAGCGCAAGCGAAGCACUGAGCCGAAGCCCCGGUAAACGGCGGCCGUAACGAUAACGGUCCUAAGGUAGCGAAAUUCCUUGUCGGGUAAUUUCCGACCUGCACGAAUGGCAUAACGACUUCCGCACUGUCUCCACCAUGGGCUCAGCGAAGUUGAGUUCGCAGUGAAAACGCUGCGCACCCGCGGAAAGACGGAAAGACCCCGUGAACCUUUACUGCAACUUGGCAGUGAUGUUCGAUCUCAAUUGUGUAGGAUAGGUGGGAGGCUGUGAACCCUGGUCGCAAGGUCAGGGGGAGCCACCGUUGAAAUACCACCCUGUUGAGUUUGGACCUCUAACCACCGCCCCUGAAUCGGGGCGUGGGACACUGUCUGGUGGGCAGUUUGACUGGGGCGGUCGCCUCCCAAAGUGUAACGGAGGCGCGCGAUGGUACCCUCAGCCUGAUUGGAAACCAGGCGGCGAGUGUAAUGGCAUAAGGGUGCCUGACUGUGAGGCCGACGGGCCGAGCAGGGUCGAAAGACGGUCAUAGUGAUCCGGUGGUCCCGAAUGGAAGGGCCAUCGCUCAACGGAUAAAAGGUA